rnacentral:rRNA from 1 species
GAACGCUGGCGGCGUGCCUAAUACAUGCAAGUCGAACGGUCUUUCUAUGGAAGCUUGCUUCCACUGAGAAGAUAGUGGCGAACGGGUGAGUAACACGUGGGUAACCUGCCCAUAAGAGGGGGGAUAACAUCCGGAAACGGGUGCUAAUACCGCAUAGUUUUCUUGAUCGCAUGAUCGGGAAAGGAAAGACGGCCUUUGUGCUGUCGCUUAUGGAUGGACCCGCGGCGUAUUAGUUAGUUGGUGAGGUAACGGCUCACCAAGACGAUGAUACGUAGCCGACCUGAGAGGGUGAUCGGCCACAUUGGGACUGAGACACGGCCCAAACUCCUACGGGAGGCAGCAGUAGGGAAUCUUCCGCAAUGGACGAAAGUCUGACGGAGCAACGCCGCGUGAGUGAAGAAAGGUUUUCGGAUCGUAAAACUCUGUUGUCAGAGAAGAACAAGUUGGAGAGUAACUGCUCCAGCCUUGACGGUAUCUGACCAGAAAGCCACGGCUAACUACGUGCCAGCCGCAGC